ACCAAUUAUAGACUUAUAGUUCAUAAUAGUUCCAUUCCAUAAUCCAUAAUUCCAUACUUUCAGAGUUUCAGUUCUAGAACCAAAUUACACGCAGUGAUGUAGCCAACAAUUAUAGAUCAGGACUUCAGGUUUAGGAGUUCAGGACAAAGUUGUAGGGAGCCAACAAAAUAUGCCAGGUUAGCAACAGUUGCAACCAACAAUUACAGGCUUACAGUUACAGCCAACAAAAUAUAAUGACCAUGUGCCUCUCAUGUCUCCUCUCUCGGGUCCUAUCUCUCCCUCUCCUCCAUCUCCUCCAUGUGAGUAUGUGACCAUGUGCCUCUACAAGUCAUUAGAAAAUCAGCAACACAUAAUUCAGAACCACUUAUUGUUGGGGCGAAGGCGAAGACGUCACCCUUCGCUCGAUGCCUUCGCCAACCUCGCUGCACCAACGGAGGCAAGACGACUGGCAGAUUUACCCUUCGUCCCACGCGUCGCCGGACGAAGACCUGUGACGAGGUCGUCGCAUCCUGCGGCCUUGUCCAACAUGGAGGCCCACGUGUGAUCCGGCCCAUUAUAACUGGCCCUGCGUGGCCGCUGCGCAUUACGGGUCUAAUUUGUAAAGGUCUCCCUGUAAUUACAGUCUGUAACCCUGCUUUAUGGGAAUAUUCCGGGGAUAACCUAGGUGCCUGAGGGCACAUGCGUCCUUAACACUGGGCGCUGGGCACUCAGAUACCUAUAAAUACCCCCACACAGUGCCCUUGAGAGGCUGGAUAAACAGAGCUAUUGCCGUCUCGAGCAAAAACCUUGUUUACGUUGUUUCACUCCCCCGUUGGAUCAACUUGCCCAGGAGAGCAGGUUCCAACACUUAUAAAUCAGGGACAACAUAUAACUCAUAUAAAUCAGGGACAACAUAUAAAUCAGCAACACAUUCAUAUAAGUAUAUAACUCAUACAAUACAAGUCAGCAACACUUACAAUUACUUGCCACCACACACUUUGGAAAUUCCACGGACUCGAUGUCACCAUCAUCACCUUCUCCCUACAAAAUAUGUACAAAGUGAGUGUCACAUAUUCAGAUAGUGAAAUGUCAAGUAAACACUUAGAAGUUACAAGUAUUGCCACCAUACACUUACAGUUAAAAGAAUAGGUGAACUUCGAGACCCGCGUAUCCAACUAGAAGCACACACCAAAGCCUGAA
rnacentral:lncRNA from 1 species